rnacentral:rRNA from 1 species
GAUGAACGCUAGCGGCAGGCCUAAUACAUGCAAGUCGAACGGGCAGUAGCAAUACUGCUAGUGGCGCACGGGUGCGUAACACGUAACUAACCUACCUAUAACUGGGGGAUAGCCCGCCGAAAGGCGGAUUAAUACCGCAUAAGCUGUUUGAGUGGCAUCACUCGAUUAGUAAAGAUUUAUUGGUUAUAGAUGGGGUUGCGGGUCAUUAGCUAGUUGGUAAGGUAACGGCUUACCAAGGCGACGAUGACUAGGGGAGCUGAGAGGCUGGUCCCCCACACGGGCACUGAGAUACGGGCCCGACUCCUACGGGAGGCAGCAGUAGGGAAUAUUGGGCAAUGGGCGAGAGCCUGACCCAGCCAUGCCGCGUGCAGGAAGAAGGCUUUCUGAGUCGUAAACUGCUUUUGACAGGGAAGAAUAAGGAGUACGUGUACCCUGAUGACGGUACCUGCAGAAUAAGCACCGGCUAACUCCGUGCCAGCAGCCGCCGUAAGAC